rnacentral:rRNA from 1 species
UAAACGAUGAGUGCUAAGUGUUGGAGGUUUCCCCUUCAGUGCUGCAGCUAACGCAUUAAGCACUCCGCUGGGGAGUACGACCGCAAGGUUGAAACUCAAAGGAAUUGACGGGGGCCCGCACAAGCGGUGGAGCAUGUGGUUUAAUUCGAAGCAACGCGAAGAACCUUACCAGGUCUUGACAUCCUUUGACCACUCUAGAGAUAGAGCUUUCCCUUCGGGGACAAAGUGACAGGUGGUGCAUGGUUGUCGUCAGCUCGUGUCGUGAGAUGUUGGGUUAAGUCCCGCAACGAGCGCAACCCUUAUUGUUAGUUGCCAUCAUUCAGUUGGGCACUCUAGCGAGACUGCCGGUGACAAACCGGAGGAAGGUGGGGAUGACGUCAAAUCAUCAUGCCCCUUAUGACCUGGGCUACACACGUGCUACAAUGGGAAGUACAACGAGUCGCUAGGCCGCGAGGUCAUGCAAAUCUCUUAAAGCUUCUCUCAGUUCGGAUUGCAGGCUGCAACUCGCCUGCAUGAAGCCGGAAUCGCUAGUAAUCGCGGAUCAGCACGCCGCGGUGAAUACGUUCCCGGGCCUUGUACACACCGCCCGUCACACCACGAAAGUUUGUAACACCCGAAGUCGGUGAGGUAACCUUUUGGAGCCAGCCGCCUAAGGUGGGAUAGAUGAUUGGGGUGAAGUCGUAACAAGGUAACCAAGGGCGAAUUCUG